rfam:Schistosoma mansoni strain Puerto Rico chromosome 6, complete genome
AUCCAGCUGACGAGUCCCAGAUAGGACGAAAUGUGUGUCAAAUCGGAU